rnacentral:lncRNA from 1 species
UUAGGUUUUAAAACCCAGAAGCUGGAAACACUGCUUUAUCAAAGAGAAUUUCCCUUUAGCUUAGCAAUGUGCUGAAGCUCUUAAAAGAUUGGAUCUGAGAGAGAGAGAGAGAGAGAGAGAAAGAGAGAGAGAGAGACAGACAGAGAGGAGAAGGAGAACUAGACAGAAAGAGGCAGACGAGGAAAAAAGACUUUCUUUUUCUUUCUAGAGGAAUUCUGCCCAGACCCAGCAGCAGUUGGUAGCAAGCAAGCUUUCUCCUGGGUGUCUCCUGGAAAAGUUGCAAAAUUGCUCUUCACCUGUAAGAACAUGCUCUUUAUCUUCCAGUCUCUUCUUGUCAAUUUGGAAACUGCAGACAGCCUGGCUCAGAAGAGAAGACUUGGGGUUCAGAGCCGCCCCCCCUCUCCUGCAGUGGAAAUGGACUUCCCUCGGGUCCAGUACAGAACUUCCCACACAGGCGGGUGGGUGAGUGCCCUUGGCGUUGCCCUCAUUGAUCCGGCUGGACACCAGAAACAGAUAAUCUGGUGAGCAGCUGAGGCACAGACUACCUGGGCUCCCACUUAGAGGCUGAUAUAGGACUGAAGAAGCAGCUGCUCUGUCAAACCUAGAGGUGAGUACAUAGCUCAUCUGAGAUAAUUCUCCUUUACAAAGAGCAGUUAGGGUCUUUUACCAAAACUAUGCUUCAUGCACCAUGUGCAUCAUCAAAUGGGUAAAGAAUUAGGCAUUUAGGAGUUCCCAUCAUGGCACAGGGGUUAAUGAAUCCGACUAGGAACCAUGAGGUUGCGGGUUCGGUCCCUGCCCUUGCUCAGUGGGUUAACGAUCCGGCAUUGCCACGAGCUGUGGUGUAGGUCGCAGACGUGGCUCAGAUCCCGCGUUGCUGUGGCCGCUACGCCAGCGGCCACAGCUCCGAUUUGACCCCUAGCCUGGGAACCUCCAUAUGCCAGGGGCGCGGCCCAGGAAAUAGCAAAAAAAAGACAAAAAUAAAUAAAUAAAUAAAUAAAUAAAAUAAAAUAAA